rnacentral:lncRNA from 1 species
UUUGCUUAAAAGGCAACAAGCAAAAAAGAGAGUGCAGUUGCGUAUUUGGAGCUAAAGGAACAGUGGUGUAAAUGCACAGGGCCGAAUUUACUUUAGCAAUCAACUAACAAAAGAAAACACAUGCCUUUUGAAUUAUUCAACUCAUGAUUUAAUAACCAAAGUUAAUAGAUAAUUCUAGAUUCAUUUGAGCACAAGAUUAAAUUAUUGAAACUAUUCAAGCAUGAACACCUACUUAAGAUCAAGACAUAUGAACACCUAACUCCAUGUCAUUAGCUCCUAAUCUGGAGUUGUCUCUCGGGUCUCGGCCGAUGGAAAUGACGAGAUCAGCUGUUGCUGCGUGCGUUCAAGAGUAAAGAAGCAGCAGCGCCUCCUCACUUUUCAUGCGUAUGUGCGUCGUGGUGUGCGUGUGUGAAGCUCCGUUCAGUUGUGGGAGAAGGGAUCAUUUAGCGUGAAGUGAAGGAGUUGGAGCGAUAGCUUUUGCUUGGUUGCUAUUUCGUUCUGGUUUUGUAUAUGAGGAAGGCGAUGAACUCAUGGGGUGGGGGAGCACUAUGGCUGCGGCGCUGAUUUUUCUUUAGGCCUUCGAUUG